UAAGGAAUAUUGGUCAAUGGGCGGAAGCCUGAACCAGCCAUGCCGCGUGCAGGAUGACUGCCCUAUGGGUUGUAAACUGCUUUUGUCCAGGAAUAAACCUAGAUACGUGUAUCUAGCUGAAUGUACUGGAAGAAUAAGGAUCGGCUAACUCCGUGCCGGCAGCCGCGGUAAUACGGAGGAUCCGAGCGUUAUCCGGAUUUAUUGGGUUUAAAGGGUGCGUAGGCGGCCUAUUAAGUCAGGGGUGAAAUACGGUGGCUCAACCAUCGCAGUGCCUUUGAUACUGAUGGGCUUGAAUCCAUUUGAAGUGGGCGGAAUAAGACAAGUAGCGGUGAAAUGCAUAGAUAUGUCUUAGAACUCCGAUUGCGAAGGCAGCUCACUAAGCUGGUAUUGACGCUGAUGCACGAAAGCGUGGGGAUCGAACAGGAUUAGAUACCCUGGUAGUCCACGCCCUAAACGAUGAUAACUCGAUGUUGGCGAUAGACAGCCAGCGUCCAAGCGAAAGCGUUAAGUUAUCCACCUGGGGAGUACGCCCGCAAGGGUGAAACUCAAAUGAAUUGACGGGGUCAUAGCUGUUUCCU
rnacentral:rRNA from 1 species